CACAGGCCACUACUUCAUUUACAUAAGGUGUAAACCAAGUAACCAAUUGGAAACCUCUAGACGGUAUUUAAACUCCAGAAAAUUCUAUAACCAGCCUCUUGAGCUGCUUGCUUGGCCCACUCUCACUCUGUGGAGUGUACAUUUGUUUCCAUAAAUCUGUGCUUUUUUUUUCAUUGUUUUGUUUGUGCAUUUCAUCCAAUUGUUUGUUCAAAAUGCCAAGAAUCUGGACACCCUCCACCAGUAACAGGCAUUGGGAAGGGGAAGGCAGAAAAGCGGAGUGCAAAAUGAAGUGGUAGUGGGUGCUAACUAACAAGAGAACCUUUGAACACGAUGGGACAGAAAUAAGGUCAUGCAUUUUCUACUAUCUGUCACCUGUGGACAACUUGCCACUUCAACAGUUCUGGACACUUUUAAGCUCCCCCGAGGAGAAGAUAGGAAACUUGGACACCCUGUGUGGGAUUGAGAAUCACAAAGGGGCAGUCUCGCACCUGGUCAAGAUAAAGCUGAACUGAACUCUUCAUUCACAAGUGGGAUUCUCGUAAGAGGCAGGAAAGCAGGGACCGUCUGUCACUACAGACAGCAAGAAGAGGUGAACCUUAAUGAGGGAAGAAAACAGAUUCUAUUAGGGGAAAAAAACAUUUAAUCAGAAAAUAAGGCUCUGGAAAGAAAAGGCCAAUUGGGGCUUUGUCUGAAGAAAUAACAGAGUAUUUUUCUGCCAGAGAAAGCAAGUCCAAGGGAGGAAUUUUCAGAUUGACCAAAGAGUAUUGGUCUACAUCAUUAGUACUUUCAGUGAGAAAUAACUGAAAAUAAACUAGAGCAAAAGUUCCCCAGGUGUGGUUCCAGGACCAGCAACUGAAACAUCACCUGGGAACUGUUAAAAAUGCAAAUUCUUGGGCUCUCCGCCAGAAUCACUGAAUCAGAAACUCUGAAAUGGGACCCAAUAAUCAGCAGCUUAACAAGCUCUCCAGGCAAGAAGAGAAUAGAGGCAAAGCAAGCCACUCCAGAAGUCCUCUAGCCAGCUUUGUCUUUAGUUUGAUGGCCAGAGCUAAACACUGUGCUGGUUAUCCCCAUCCAUAACUCCUCCCAAAGGGCCCAAUAGCCUGCCUUCCAGCAGAGCUAAUAAUCCAUGGUUUAAGUUAUGCAUUCGGACUGUAAGAAAUCUGAAUAAAACGUCAUUCUCCCUUUUAUCCAACUGGCAAAAUGCAUACUCUUCCUCUAAACUCAAUUGAAUGGAGUUCUUUGAGAAGACUUCCUGAUAACAUGCUAGGAAAUCCAAGCCAAAAGCUCCUUUUGGAGACAAGAAUAUUCUGACAGCACCUCCUACGAUGUGACAGAGUCAAAGAAGAAAAUAUACAAGAGAACUCUGCUAUAGAAAAUUACAAAUUCAAACCAUGGGAAAAUGGGGAAUAGAAAAAUUAUCUCUUUAGACAGAGAAAAGAUUAUAAAUACUGAAAAUUGUCAUUUCUAUAAAUGUCAUUGCUCUUCUGUUUUACAUUGUGUAAAUAUUUGGAAGAAAAUGGCACAAUUUUCUUUCAAAAAAAGGGAAACAUUCAAAAUAUUUAAAUUAUAUAUAUUAUAUAUGUAACAUGAUCAGCAAGUCUGGAAACAUAACGAAGUUUUAUAGUAUUGAUUUAUUCCUAUCACUCUGAGAUAUGGUGACAUUACAUGAUAUGUUCAACGUGUUGUUCCUCAUUAGCAAUGUGUUAUGCAUAAUGGGGACCAACAUGGGACAUUAAUACAACAUUUCUAUCAGUGCCUGCACAUGCUUCUGUGAUACGUUGCCUCCAAUGAUUUUUGUCUCUAAUUUUCAGAAUAUAAACCUGCUCCAUUAGCAUUUUCUGGAAGAAGCAAUCAAAUGGGUUAAUCUGUGAAAGUAAAUGUUAUCUAUAUUUCCCAACAUUAUGGCCAUCCUGUAUUAACGUAUAUUAUGUAUAUUCUGAACUGCUCCAUAAUUGGAAUAGUCAUUCCUUAUCAAUAAUUUACUUGAUAUCAUGGAUAUGUGUCUUUUAGUUAAUGAUCCCUUUGCCAACUAGCCUAGUUUAUAGGCAGUGACUAUAUCAUACUCAUUUUGAAUUCCCAAUACUUACCACAGCUUCCUAUACAUGGUAGUUGUUUAAUAAAUAAUUCUUGAAUAAAAAUAAACUUUAAAUAUUUCCUUAUUAUUUAGCUUUCGAGUACAUCUUGGAUAUUUGACACUUAAGCACAUACCACCCAGAUCCUUAUUUCCUCUGAUGGUUUUAUCAUAAUAAUUGCUCUGAGAGAUUUUUCCAGUGAAGUCUUAGAGUUACCACAUCUCUGCUUAUGCUUUCCACCACUGAAAGAUAGCUUUCUCCAGAUUCUUCUUCUUUUUUUAAAUGCUCACUUCUCUUCUAAGAUAUCUGGACCGAAUGGGUUUCAUUUUGUAUUGCUUUCACGACAAAAGCCAAACUACUAAGUGAGGAAAUAAACUGUUCAAAGUUUAUACAAAUUGUGAACGAGUGUAUGAAAAAAAUAUUUUUCAGUGGAAUUCAAAUGACAAACAUUUACUUAAUGUAAUCCAAAGUGACAUAAUAAAAGACAAAGAGUUUCAUA
rnacentral:lncRNA from 1 species